GGGUAUUCUGGGUGUUUCUUUUGUAGGCAUCUGCCCCUCGUUCGCCCUCCGGGGGCGAUCUUAAUGUGGCUCCUUGUAAGUUCUCCAGGGUGGGCCCUUCCCCCUGGGGUGGACGGGGGCAAUCUGUGCCCUUCCCGAUUAUCCAGCGGCAUCACAAACUACUGACUCCUUGAUCCAGUGAAAUCCUGUCCCCCUGAAGAGACCCUAUUGGUCGAAACGCGUUGGGGCUCAACACUGUAUCAUGUGAAGCUGUAAUAUGUAUCAUUACUUACUUUUACUUAUAUUGUAUCAAGGAUUGUGACUCUCCUCAAUAAGGAAUGUGACUUUUAAUCUGUAAUUGGUUCAUAUGUAAUGUAAUUUUUUACUCAUUGUUGCUACCCGAGAAAUCUCGGAAUAAAUACUUAUUAU